rnacentral:piRNA from 1 species
UUUCGUAAACUUCAGGAUCCAUCGAGUC